AAAAAAAUAGCUUAACCAAAGCAACUUGCUUACACCAAGAAGAUGUCCUUAACAGGACUAUUUUGAACUUAG
rnacentral:tRNA from 1 species